CUAUGCGCCUUGCCAGCCCGCUCAGGUGUGCCAGCCGCCGCGGUAAUACGGAGGAUGCGAGCGUUAUCCGGACUUAUUGGGUUAAAGGGUGCGUAGGCGGGCUGUUAAGUCAGCGGUCAAAUGUCGGGGCUCAACCCCGGCCUGCCGUUGAAACUGGCGGCCUCGAGUGGGCGAGAAGUAUGCGGAAUGCGUGGUGUAGCGGUGAAAUGCAUAGAUAUCACGCAGAACUCCGAUUGCGAAGGCAGCAUACCGGCGCCCGACUGACGCUGAGGCACGAAAGCGUGGGUAUCGAACAGG
rnacentral:rRNA from 1 species